UAGGGAAUCUUCGGCAAUGGACGAAAGCCUGACCGAGCAACGCCGCGUGAGUGAAGAAGGUUUUCGGAUCGUAAAACUCUGUUGUUAGAGAAGAACAAGGACGUUAGUAACUGAACGUCCCCUGACGGUAUCUAACCAGAAAGCCACGGCUAACUACGUGCCAGCAGCCGCGGUAAUACGUAGGUGGCAAGCGUUGUCCGGAUUUAUUGGGCGUAAAGCGAGCGCAGGCGGUUUCUUAAGUCUGAUGUGAAAGCCCCCGGCUCAACCGGGGAGGGUCAUUGGAAACUGGGAGGCUUGAGUGCAGAAGAGGAGAGUGGAAUUCCAUGUGUAGCGGUGAAAUGCGUAGAUAUAUGGAGGAACACCAGUGGCGAAGGCGGCUCUCUGGUCUGUAACUGACGCUGAGGCUCGAAAGCGUGGGGAGCAAACAGG
rnacentral:rRNA from 1 species